AACAUCUUAAAAGUGUUUUGAAAACACUAAUUAGACUAAGUCUAGUUGUUU
rnacentral:tRNA from 1 species